rnacentral:sRNA from 1 species
UUGACAGCCCUGGACACUUAUGGCCUCUAUCUACAAAACAAGUACAACUCAGGCACUGGCAGUGAAAGCUUCUGCCAUGCUGGUGUCUGCUGAAUUUCCUCCACCCUCUCCAGGAGAGACUGUCUCUAGGACUGAGGAGGGGAGCAUUUCCUUGGUCUGUUCAGUCUUUGACUUUU